GAUGAACGCUGGCGGCGUGCCUAAUACAUGCAAGUAGAACGCUGAAGGAGGAGCUUGCUCUUCUGGAUGAGUUGCGAACGGGUGAGUAACGCGUAGGUAACCUGCCUGGUAGCGGGGGAUAACUAUUGGAAACGAUAGCUAAUACCGCAUGACAACAGUUAUUGCAUGAUAACUGUUUAAAAGGGGCAACUGCUCCACUACCAGAUGGACCUGCGUUGUAUUAGCUAGUUGGUGAGGUAACGGCUCACCAAGGCGACGAUACAUAGCCGACCUGAGAGGGUGAUCGGCCACACUGGGACUGAGACACGGCCCAGACUCCUACGGGAGGCAGCAGUAGGGAAUCUUCGGCAAUAGACGGAAGUCUGACCGAGCAACGCCGCGUGAGUGAAGAAGGUUUUCGGAUCGUAAAGCUCUGCUGUAAGAGAAGAACGAGUGUGAGAGUGGAAAGUUCACACUGUGACGGUAUCUUACCAGAAAGGGACGGCUAACUACGUG
rnacentral:rRNA from 1 species